rnacentral:rRNA from 1 species
UACGAAGGGGGCUAGCGUUGCUCGGAAUGACUGGGCGUAAAGGGCGCGUAGGCGGAUGGCACAGUCAGAUGUGAAAUUCCUGGGCUUAACCUGGGGGCUGCAUUUGAUACGUGUGAUCUAGAGUGAGGAAGAGGGUUGUGGAAUUCCCAGUGUAGAGGUGAAAUUCGUAGAUAUUGGGAAGAACACCGGUGGCGAAGGCGGCGACCUGGUCCGACACUGACGCUGAGGCGCGAAAGCGUGGGGAGCAAACAGG